rnacentral:rRNA from 1 species
GACUCCGGAGAGGGAGCCUGAGAAACGGCUACCACAUCCAAGGAAGGCAGCAGGCGCGCAAAUUACCCAAUCCCGAUACGGGGAGGUAGUGACAAGAAAUACCGAUUCAGGAUCUUAUUGGAUCUUGAGAUUGGAAUGAGUACAAUUCAAACCCAUUAACGAGGAACAACUAGAGGGCAAGUCUGGUGCCAGCAGCCGCGGUAAUUCCAGCUCUAGUAGCGUAUAUUAAAAUUGUUGCAGUUAAAACGCUCGUAGUUGAACUUUGGGCUUGGCUGGCUGGUCCGCCUCACCGCGAGCACUGGUCCGGCUGGGCCUUUCCUCUUGGGGAUCCACAUGCCCUUCACUUGGGUGUGUUGGGGAACCAGGACUUUUACUUUGAAAAAAUUAGGGUGUUCAAAGCAGGCAUUUGCUCGAAUACAUUAGCAUGGGAUAAUAGAAUAGGACGUGUGGUCUUAUUUUGUUGGUUUCUAGGACCGCCGUAAUGAUUGAUAGGGAUAGUUGGGGGCAUCGGUAUUCA